rnacentral:rRNA from 1 species
GACGAACGCUGGCGGCGUGCUUAACACAUGCAAGUCGAACGGUGAAGCGCCUUCCUUUUUGGUGGGUGUGGAUGAGUGGCGAACGGGUGAGUAACACGUGAGUAACCUGCCCCCUUCUUCUGGAUAACCGCAUGAAAGUGUGGCUAAUACGGGAUAUUCUGGGUCUGUCGCAUGAUGGGUCUGGGAAAGAUAUUGUUUCGGUGGGGGAUGGGCUCGCGGUCUAUCAGCUUGUUGGUGGGGUGAUGGCCUACCAAGGCGGUGACGGGUAGCCGGCCUGAGAGGGUGGACGGUCACACUGGGACUGAGACACGGCCCAGACUCCUACGGGAGGCAGCAGUGGGGAAUAUUGCACAAUGGGCGCAAGCCUGAUGCAGCGACGCCGCGUGAGGGAUGGAGGCCUUCGGGUUGUGAACCUCUUUCGCCAGUGAAGCAGGCCUGCCUCGUUUGUGGGUGGGUUGACGGUAGCUGGAUAAGAAGCGCCGGCUAACUACGUG